rnacentral:rRNA from 1 species
CCUACGGGAGGCAGCAGUGGGGAAUAUUGCACAAUGGGCGAAAGCCUGAUGCAGCAACGCCGCGUGAAGGAAGAAGGGCUUCGGCUCGUAAACUUCUAUCAACAGGGAAGAAAGAAAUGACGGUACCCGAAUAAGAAGCCGCGGCUCACUAGGUGCCAGCAGCCGCGGUAAUACGUAGGGGGCAAGCGUUAUGCGGAAUUACUGGGUGUAAAGGGUGAGUAGGCGGCAUGGUAAGCCAGAUGUAAAAGCCUGGGGCUUAACCCGGGGAUUGCAUUUGAAACUAUAAAGCUAGAGUGCAGGAGAGGAAGGCGGAAUUCCUGGUGUAGCGGUGAAAUGCGUAGAUAUUAGGAAGAACACCAGUGGCGAAGGCGGCUUUCUGGACUGAAACUGACGCUGAGGCACGAAAGCGUGGGGAGCGAACAGGAUUAGAUACCCGAGUAGUC